CUACGGAGGAUGCGAGCGUUAUCCGGAUUUAUUGGGUUUAAAGGGAGCGUAGGCGGGAGCUUAAGUCAGCGGUUAAAUGGUGCGGCUCAACCGUGCCCUGCCGUUGAAACUGGGUUUCUUGAGAGUGCAAGAGGCGGAUGGAAUUCAUGGGGUAGCGGUGAAAUGCUUAGAUAUCAUGAAGAACUCCGAUUGCGAAGGCCGUCCGCUGGGGCACGUCUGACGCUGAUGCUCGAAGGUGCGGGAAUCAAACAGGAUUAGAUACCCUGGUAGUCCGCACGGUAAACGAUGAUUACCCGCUGUCGGCGGUAGACAGUCGGCGGCCAAGCGAAAGCGAUAAGUAAUCCACCUGGGGAGUACGCCGGCAACGGUGAAACUCAAAUGAAUUGGCGGGG
rnacentral:rRNA from 1 species